rnacentral:lncRNA from 1 species
CCUUCAUCUUUUGAAGAGGAUGGUAUCCCCUCUCCUCCUCGGUUCCUUUUUGAUCCAUGCACUGAGAAUGUCCUAGAGGCUCUAGGUGUGGCUAUGGUUGAGAAAAAGGAUGUGGAACUGAAUUUCUCAGUAGAUCUUGCAUGUACAGACUCUGCGGCAACCUGGGCAUCUCUGGCGUGGAAUGGGACAGGCUCGGAUGCGUUGAUUUGUAUCUAGAUUUCUGAGCACAAAUACAUUCCGCUGAACAUUUUGGGGUUAAUGAUGACAGAAGCCGAGAAAGCCUGCAGUGUGUGGGGGGUGGGGGGGGGGAGGUGAGGGGUUUUCACAACAAAAGCCAGAUUAAAAACCAUAUUGUCGACACACCUAUUUUUGGACAUGGGAUGUAUGUUUUUCCAGAGGGGAGA